GUAAUCCUCCAGGUUUGGAUAAUUUUUGGGUCAGUCAGGGUGCUACAUUGUUGCUCAGUUUGAUGUAGAGUUCACAAGAGGAUGUUCAGCAGGAAAGGGCAGCUACAGGGCUUGCUACUUUUGUGGUUAUUGAUGAUGAGAACACAAGCAUUGAUGGGCAACGAGCCGAAGCAGUUAUGCGGGUGGGGUGUGCAGCUUCUCCUUAGUCUUGCCGGCUCGUGGCGAGAAGGAUUGCAAGCAGAGUCUGCCAAGGCAAUAGCGAAUUUGUCCGUCAAUGCUAAUGUUGCGAAAGCUGUAGCUGAUGAAGGAGGCAUCACUAUCCUUGCAAAUAAAAAAUGAUACUUUGGCGGAGUUACAACUGAAUUUUCUCAAAAUAAGCUUGAUGAGCUCAAGACUUGUGUAUCAAAGAUGUGGAUGAAUAUAAACAAGUGGAUCAACAAGACUCGGAAGAUAAUGACCAUUUUAAUUAGGAUGUGUGUAUUUUCUUUUUGAGUAGGAAUAGGGAGGUGCUUCUAUUUUUGUGCAUAUGAAUUGGAAGAAAUAGGCCUAGCUGCUCUAUUAUUUUUUUUAUAACUAAUUAGUUGAAUUUUUGGAAUCUUCUAACAU